AACCUGAAACCGUGUACGUACAAGCAGUGGGAGCACGCUUAGGCGUGUGACUGCGUACCUUUUGUAUAAUGGGUCAGCGACUUAUAUUCUGUAGCAAGGUUAACCGAAUAGGGGAGCCGAAGGGAAACCGAGUCUUAACUGGGCGUUAAGUUGCAGGGUAUAGACCCGAAACCCGGUGAUCUAGCCAUGGGCAGGUUGAAGGUUGGGUAACACUAACUGGAGGACCGAACCGACUAAUGUUGAAAAAUUAGCGGAUGACUUGUGGCUGGGGGUGAAAGGCCAAUCAAACCGGGAGAUAGCUGGUUCUCCCCGAAAGCUAUUUAGGUAGCGCCUCGUGAAUUCAUCUCCGGGGGUAGAGCACUGUUUCGGCAAGGGGGUCAUCCCGACUUACCAACCCGAUGCAAACUGCGAAUACCGGAGAAUGUUAUCACGGGAGACACACGGCGGGUGCUAACGUCCGUCGUGAAGAGGGAAACAACCCAGACCGCCAGCUAAGGUCCCAAAGUCAUGGUUAAGUGGGAAACGAUGUGGGAAGGCCCAGACAGCCAGGAUGUUGGCUUAGAAGCAGCCAUCAUUUAAAGAAAGCGUAAUAGCUCACUGGUCGAGUCGGCCUGCGCGGAAGAUGUAACGGGGCUAAACCAU
rnacentral:rRNA from 1 species